CCACAAUACUUACUAUAGUAAAGCUAUUUUGAUGAUAUAGGCUGUCACCUUAUUAGCUUGAAAAGUCACAAAAGACAGAACUAUGUGAAAGAAAGGCUUUUAUGAUCACAAUGAAAUAAGGUGCACAAAAUGGUUAAUCCAUGUGAUGUCUGCAGCUGAUACACAUCUGGGAGUAGGAAGGAAAGAACUUGAAGACACCUGCUAUGACUACAAUGAACUGCCCCUGCAGGCUGUUUGCUCUACUGGGCAACAUAACAGUUGGCUGGCAGGCUGGAAAUAGCUAGCCACAGCGUCUUUGUCAACAUCCAGCAGCAAUUAGUGAACAGGACUCAGUGCUGAAUGCUAGCAUCUCAGCUGGGGGAGAUCCAAUAGCUGCUUCAACUUCCAUUUUCUAUUCAUAUUUGCAUAGUGGCUUUGGCCAUAUUAGAACAAGGCAAACUUAUUUAUAGGGGAGAGAGUUAAGCAGAUUUCCUCAACACAUCUCUGCCUUGAGCUUUGUCAAAGAUAUAACCUCUCCGUGCAUCCACACAGACUAUCAUCAUCUCACCAUUAUUGUCACUUUUUUUUACUUUGCUCUUAAUCCUUUUGGCCCCACUCACCUCAAAUACAGCUGUAGUCAUCCAUUCU